rnacentral:rRNA from 1 species
GAUGAACGCUGGCGGCGUGCCUAAUACAUGCAAGUCGAGCGAACAGACGAGGAGCUUGCUCCUUUGACGUUAGCGGCUGACGGGUGAGUAACACGUGGGUAACCUACCUAUAAGACUGGGAUAACUUCGGGAAACCGGAGCUAAUACCGGAUAAUAUUUCGAACCGCAUGGUUCGAUAGUGAAAGAUGGCUUUGCUAUCACUUAUAGAUGGACCUGCGCCGUAUUAGCUAGUUGGUAAGGUAACGGCUUACCAAGGCAACGAUACGUAGCCGACCUGAGAGGGUGAUCGGCCACACUGGAACUGAGACACGGUCCAGACUCCUACGGGAGGCAGCAGUAGGGAAUCUUCCGCAAUGGGCGAAAGCCUGACGGAGCAACGCCGCGUGAGUGAUGAAGGUCUUCGGAUCGUAAAACUCUGUUAUUAGGGAAGAAUAAACGUGUAAGUAACUGUGCACGUCUUGACGGUACCUAAUCAGAAAGCCACGGCUAACUACGUG